UAAAACUACCCUGACUUUCACUUUUUCAUGAUUUGCUGGAUUGGCUGGGCUCAUGCCUGCAGCUGAUGCAAUGGCUCUCAAGGGUCCACGCUGGCCUCGCUCACUGGUGGGGUGGUUGGUUCUGGCUAUGGGCAGGGCUCCUCCAUGUGGCCUCUCACCCUCCCACAGGCAAGGUGGACUCCCUGGCGUGGUGGUCUCAGGGCAGGAAGGGGGUGAAAGCCGAAACUGCGAGGCCUUGUUAAGUUUGGCACAGGCAGCUCUCGCACUGGGUUCCUUUGAUCAAAGUGCGUCACAGGCUGCCUGGACUCAAGGGGGGGGGAUGUAGACUCCGCCUCCUGCAGAGGGUCCCUGCAGCCACACUGUGAAGGGCACAGAGGGCAGGUGGGCCCUGUGAGCACGACCUCCUGUAGCUCUCUGAUGCCCAGUGGUGCUCCCUCCCUCCUGUUAUGAAGCUGGGCUUUUCCUUUCCUCUUUAGCUGAGGCUGGUGUUAGGUCACUGUGCUGGAUAACAUGGUUUAGUGGGGGGAGUCCAUGGCUUGGGGACAGACAGGCCAAGCCCCUCCCUGCAACUUGUCUCCCCCUUUCCAAUUCUGGGACAAUGGCCACUUUUGGCCUUGGCUGUUUAUCCCUGUGGGUUUGGUUCACCUUUGGCCUCUGCCCUCUGCACAGCUGGGCUUGGAGGGCAUUGCUGGUUCAGAUACUAUGAUCUGGGAUGACCCAGCUUCACCUCUGGGGCUUUUGACCCACGUUUUGGUCCUUGCUGCCAUUUUCUUUGCAAGCACGUUUCCCUGGCAAACCUCCAAAGGCCUGAAGUGACAGAAUAUUCCCAGCUAAGUGGGAAAACUGUACCUGGAAGCACCAGUGAUGGACAUGAGUGUCCAGGGUAAGUAAGUGUCCAAUUGUAAGUAAGUGCAAAUCUUGGUUUGCUUUUUGCUUUUGAGGCUGAGAGGGGACUCUGGCCCCAGGAAGAGAGCCAGCAGCAGACGUGCUCCAAGCUCACCUAGAGACAGGUUCAGAGGCACACACCAAGUGAGAAAGACCAUGUGUCAGGACAGGUUUGUCCUGUGAGGGGUGUCCUCUUUUGGGGGUCGAGGGUGAGAGAGAAGGCAUGUAAUGUAUGAAUUCAUGACACAAAAUAAAAUAGGGAAGCAAUUCCUCUUCUGGGUCCCAAAGAAUUGAAAGAAGGGUCUCUGAGAGAUUUGUACACCCAUAUUCAUAGCAGCAUUAUUCAUAAUCCAAAAGGUGGAAGCAACCUAAGAAUGAAUGGAUAAACAAAGUGUGGUAUAGAUGCAUACGCGUGUGUGUGCUUGUACACAUGUGAGCACAGUGGAAUAUUAUACAGCCUUAAAAGGAAGGAAAUUUGGACACACUGCAGCGUGGUUGAGCCUGGACGACAUGAUGAUGAGUGACACACCCAGUCCCACGAGGACAAUCACUGCACGACUCCACUUGUAUGAGGGGCCUAGUGGAGUCAACUUCACAGAGAGUGGAACAGAAUGGCGGCUGUGAAGGCCUGGGGGAAGGGGAAUGCGGAGCUUGUGUUUACUGGGUACAGAGUUUCAAUUUUGCAGGAUGAAAAAGUUCUGGAGCUUGAUGGUGGUGAGGGCUGCACAAUGAUGUGAAUGCACUUGACGCCACUUAACUGUACAGUUCCAAAUGGUUAAGAUGGUAAAUUUUAUGUUUUAUGAGGAUUUUACCACCAUUAGGGGAAAAAAAAGACCCUUAGAAGCUCAAUAGGAAAAAAUUGGCUGUGGAGGAGGGUGCGUGGCAGGAUGCAGGGCUGCGGGUCUGGGCAAUGUGCAGUAUGUGGAGUGGAAGGAGUGGAAAAUUUCCCUGGGCAACAGGAGAGAGAACACAGGCAGAGGAGGGCUCAGGGGGCACCGAGCAGGUAAGAAAGACAAGUCCCAGCUGAAGCCGAGUUCACAUUCCUAGUGUUGAGCCCCAGGGGGCCGUGGGGAAUGAAAUAUGUGUUUACAUCAAAACCACUGUUUCUCAGAAGAAAGAAAAAGCAAGGACUACAGACAUUUCCUUCUCCAACUUUGUUUAUCUGGCAUUAAACUUUCAACAGUAUAUAAACACUUUUUGGGGGAAAUCAGGCAUGUAAGUAUGUUUCUACCAGAAUCCAGCAAUAAAAAUCAGCGACCACCUUGUGCCCUGCAGGGACUCUUGCCUGUAGGGUGCGUCCCUCUCUGAGGUGCCCCCCUCUGAGAUGCUCCUUAACCAGGGGGCUUGUCUCCUUUGUUCUGUGAGGGGUCUCAUCACAGGGCAGCAGGAGGUCAAUAUUUAGCAUCUCUUUGCCUUCAUCAAUGCGGCUUAUAAUCGGCAUGUUUCUGUCUGCUCUUUCUUCAUAUGAAGAUUAAAUGUGUUUUAAAGAGUGUCCAUUUAAAGACUAAAACAAAAAAUACCUUGGCAAUGAGGGGAGUUCAGGAAGCACAGUGUCCAGUCCCCCCGAGAAGGGGACUUGCGCUAGAAGGGUGUCAUGUGCUCUGCAUCUGGCCUUCCUAUAGUGUCCUUAGUCUGCCAGCUCAGCCCCCUGACAUGUUGGUGGGACUUCUAAAGCAUCACUUUAUUCCAACAAGCAUAGAGGUUAUGCAUGAUUUGAGAGGUGGGCAGAUAAUUGCACAGGAGCCUGGAAGAGUGUGGAUUACCUGGUCGGGAUUAAGGAAGUAACCCUGGGGACAGCGCCUGGCAAAGAGGGAAUGAGGACGAGCGUCUGUGAACACCUGCUCUGUGCUGAAACUCUGGUAGGUGCUUUUCAUGGCUGUGGUACGUAAUCCCCAUAAGAAUCUUGUGAGUUAGGAAACAGUGGUCUGCUAUGGCAGUCAGAACUGAGGCCCCAACUCUACACUGUUAAUUAGUUGGUGAAAGGGGAUUUGAGAUUAGCCUGGAUGCCUGCAGAGUCAGCGGCUUCUCAGUGCAUCACAUUCAUGCUGCUUCUGCGCUGGUGGGAGAGUCUUCAGGUCGACUCUGUUCUCUGGAAGAAUGGGAGAGGAGACAUGAGGAAGGGAAGGGAGGAGAGGCAGGGAAGGAAGAGGAAAGAGAGCAGAGGAGAGACGAGGUGCAGAGAGAUGUGCCAGGUCUUCAGGGAGGCCAGUGCCCAGGGGUCAGAGGGAGGCAUGGGAAGCAGACUGAGGGUGGAGGCCAGGGAGGCCAGGGGCUCAGCACAAGGAAGGUCAGGUCAGGCAAAGGUGAGAAGGAAGUGAUCACAGUCAGACGCUGUGCUCCUCCGCAGAGGGGAGGAGGAUGCUCAGAACAAGCACCUCCAGACUGACCCUGGGUGGCCUCGGCCCUGGAGAGCUGGGGAGGAAUCUGGGCGGUGGCCCAGGGCAGAUGCUUGGGGAGGGGACUGUGUCAGAGUGUCCCCCAGGGGCUCCCGUGAGGACUCACACCAGGGUUCUGUAGGCAAUGUCUUUAUGUGCAAGUUAUUUUUGCUGUUAACCCACGUGCUUGUGCCUGGUAAUUACAGGGUAAAAGGAAUUAAGAAAGACAUAAUUCCUCCCCAUCAAAGCUCGACUGGUUUACAUCUCUACCUCACACUGGCAGCUAGGCAUUCAGCCUUCACAGGUGCCACUUUGAUUUCAGUCACGUAGGAAAGGAAUUUGAAACACUUUCAAAGUGAUUAGAGAGAGGAAGUGAUUGCGAAUUUGGGGUAAAUGCAAUAAUCACAUUAACUGUUUAUGGCCAUGGGGCGUUCAGGAAGGGAGGCUCCCCUCCCAGCUGGGCCGUGGGGCUGGGGCUGCUCAGGGUGGGGGUGGCAGUGGCCACCGUGGCAUUGCAGGUGGGCUGGGACCAGCUAAUCAUGACAUUAAUUGUUAUUAUUAUCACUAUUACAGCUGCUGUGUAUUGAGCAUUUACCACUCUCCCAAUGUUCUUCCCUUUAACCUUUGCUGAAGCCCAUGAAGUGGGCAUUAUGAUCCUCAUAGUAAGGAAGCCACGGUUUGGAGAAGUUUAUUCUCUUGUUCUGGAUACAUGCCUGGGAAGCCCCAGAAUGGAAUAUGGAGUCAAUCCUGUCCUAUUUUAGACACCACUCAGCUGCUGUCUAUGGCAUCCCAAGGUCUCUUUUUCUUUUUUUUUCACAUUUAGCAAAACAGACCCGGACUGGAUCCUAGCUGGUUAUUUCCCCGGUGCUCCCAGACAUGAGGGAACUCGCGUGCUCCCCUCCUGCACGGAGCUCGUGGCUCCAAAGGCCUAGGGAGGGUGGUACAGAGGCUGGAAGCGCUGUCCCGAGGAAAGACGGAGAGAGUUCAGGCGAAGAGCCAGGUGACCAGGUCAAAAGUCCAAAAUGGGUUGGCAGGCCUGCAUUCCUGGCGAAAGCUGUAUGGGAAAAUCGUUUCCUUGCCUUCUCCAGUUUCUCGGGGCUGCCAGCGUUCCGUGGCCUGUGGCCCCACACCCUCCAACCUCUGCCUCCAUGGUCAAGGCUCCUUCUUGCUGGUGCAUAUACUUUCCUGACAGGGAAUUGCCUAAUUUUUAGCAUCUUAUAAUGUGAAUAGACUGAGAUUUCCCCACAUCAUUCCUCUUAACAGUUCUUCCCUCGAUUUCUCCCUUUCCCCUGGUAUUUUACUAUAAGCAGCAAGAAGAAAGCUGGCUGCACCUUCAGCACCAUGCUUGGAGAUCUCAGCUAAACAUGCAGGUUCAUUACUUACGAGUUCUGCUUUGCACAGAACUGCGGUACACCGUUCAGCUGAGCCGUCUGCCCGGAUAUAACAAAGGCCCUCUUUCCUCCAGUUUCUGAUAACACUUACAUAAUUUCUUCCUGAGCCCUCACCCAUAGCACCUUUAACGUUCAUAUUUCUGCCAACGGUCUGUCCAGGAUGAUUUCCAUGUUCUCUAAGACGGCACAGGGUUCCUCACCGCGCUCCCCACUGCCUUUAGGCCCUUGCUGCCAGAGUCUUUCACAUCCAUGUUUCUACUGACAGUCUGGUCCAGACCAUCCUGGUUUUUUCUAUCACACAACGCAAUAUUCUUCUAUCCUCUGCCCACAGUCCAGUCCCAAAGCCGCGUCUACAUUUUUGAGUUACAGCAGCACCCCACUUCCAGACCCCAACGUCUGUAUCAGUUAGAGUUUGGAAACAAAGGCUGAAGUCUGCAGAGCAGGCUGUCGGGAGGGCAGAGUGGGACCUGCUGGCAGGAGCACUCUGCUCUUCGUAGCAGAAUCUCUUUUUCUUUAGGGAAGCCUCAGCUCUGCAACUAAGACUUUCCACUGACUGAAUCAGGCCUGCUCAGAUCGCCAAGGACAAUCUCCCUUACAGUAUGUGGACUUUAAGCCCAUCUACUAAAUACCUCCACAGCUAACCCUAGAUUAGUAUUUGAUUGAAUAUUUGGGGAUUACUGCCUAGCCAAGUUGACACAUGAACCUGACCAUGAUACUUUCCCACUCUCCCAUCCUCAUCCCACUGGCUGAUGAGGCGCCUGAGUGGGCCAGAGGUGUGGGCUGGGGCAGGAGACGAGAUCAGCGGGCAGGAGUGGUCUUCACCACUUGGGAGGGUUGUUUCCAAAGGCAGUGAUUUCCUUUGGUGUUGGCUGCUGUUCACAGCUGACCCUUUCUCUCCUGGGUGCUUUUGAGAGCUCUCAGACCCCUGGUACCUUCAACCUUUGUUGCAUAAUGUGGCAUAACCAAUGGCUCCGAGACUCAGUGGCUUAAACCCAGCAUUUACUCUCAUGGUCAUAGACCUGCAGGUUGACUGGUUCUGCUGAUCUAAACCAGGCUUGGUUCCUGAGUCAGCUCCAGAUGGCGGGUUUAGUUCAUGGCUCCUCCAUAUUCAUUCUGGAGCCCAGGCCCAGAGUCAGCAGCACUGGGACAUGGUCUUCCUGUGGAUCACAGGAGGGCAAGAGGUCAAGCCUAUCUGAGCAAGCGUGUUUGUAGCCCCUGCUCCAGGAGCACCUUCUGCCAUAGCAAGUCACCUGCUUAGCUCAAAGUUGAAGCUGUGGCACGUGACUGCUCACCAUGAGGCCACAUCUAGGGUGUGACUAUCAUUCUGUUAUACAGGAGUGAAUGGUUGGGACCUAUAAUGCUUCCUGAUGGUGGGGUCUCUCUCACCAGCCCCUCUCUGGCGGGCAGUUAUUGUGGUCCCUUGGCCUCUGGUUCUAAGUGAUGUCCUUCCCAACAGACUAUCUCUUUGCAUCCUGUUGCCCUGCAGGCAUCCCUCUUGGGGAUAUUUAAGACUUCUCUGAGCCCAUUUCACCUCAGCUCUCUACAGUGCUGCCACAGGCCACCUCCGCCAGUCUUUUGCCCUGUAGAGUUUUUGACAGUGAGUCAGAUGCAUCCACUGUAUUCUCCAGAUUCCAUGGGGAUGCAUAGCAAGUAGUCUUGAAGCUCCUUUCACUAGCAUUCCCAUCCUUCUCCCAAGAGAUCUCUUGGGGCCCUGUGCCUGUCUGGGGUUCCAUCUGCACUGGAUGGAUCAAUUGCCAAGUUGGGGAUAAUUGGCCUUCUUCCUCCAGCCACAGUCAUUUUUCUCUUUCUCAGUCAAGCAUGCUCCCUGUACUGCCUGCUUUCUGCUGGACACUGCAUUUGUGUUUGAAGAUGAGACGUUUCCUGUCAGCUCCGUUGUGCUCCACUGAGCUGGGUGUUGUGUGAGAUGUUCAUUAAGAUUGCCUAUUAUUUUGGAUUCCCUUCAGUUACUCAGGGCAGUUUAUUCUCUUGCUGAAGGACCAGAAUCUUGGCUCCCUGAAGCCUCAUACCCAGAGACUUUGGCCACAUAGGUAGCAGAAGAUUGGGGUGAAAAGUCCUGACUGGUGGCUGGAUGCCUUGUUUAUACCAUGUCACACAAAGGAUUAGUUUGGGCAAUCAUAGGGGUGAGUGUGAACACUGAUUACAUCUGCAGGUAUCAACCAAAUGAAAUGAAGUGUAACUAUAUAAUGUUAGGCAAAUUUAAAGGAUUGUUAUUUCUACUGGGCUAGAUCACUACUUCCCAGAAUAGAAGAGUAACCUCUGAGGUCAAAUCCAAAUUGCCUGUUUUCUGCUUCUGUGAAUCUAAGUACAAUACAAGAAUGCUUUUGGCCGAAGAAGCUGGUCCUGCCAGUCAGCCAUCUGUACCUCUUUACUGUUUUCCACCAUUAAGCCCCCUCUGAGUGGUGGCAAGGUAUGGCCCCACUGGGUAACUUGCAUUUUUCACCAGUGACAAGAGGAGAGGCUGAUUUCCCCUAGAGGAGGGGAGAGGGCUCAUGUGCCUUCCCAUUCUGCUUCUGAGGUUCAAAGAUGCCAUGGCUCAGCAGGCUCCAUGGGACUCAACAGGGGACAUUCUGCCAAUGGCCUCACCUUGCCUGAACCAGCCCAUUCUCCUUCAAAUUCAAGGGGGAAUAAUCCUCACUGAAGCCUCCUCAUCAAACUGCAAGCAACUCUGGGCCUGGCCCUGAUGUAUCUCUGGGUCCUCUGACUCACAGCAACAGAUUAGCACAUGCUGGCUGAAAGGGUGGAAACAAGAGCAGAGGAAAGGAAACACCUCCACUCCCUCUCAGCGUCCAAGGGGCCCAAACUGGACUUCCAGGGGCACUAAAGCACCAGCCCAUCUCAACACAUCUUCACUUUCCUGGUGGCAAAGCAGAGAUCUGGCAGAAUCAACACACAGCUGAUUGCCUCAAUUAGGCAAAAUGGACUGCUGGAUAGAACAUUCUGGCAGAAAAGAACUGUCCGGUCAUUCCCAAUGAUGAUCCGACUGUUUUAAAAAAAUUUUUUCUACUGCAUUGGAAAAUUCUUUCCAAUGGGACCAACCACUGGAAUGUGCUGUGUCACUGUCUGAGGGGACCUGGUUUUGGGUUCAUGGAAGGCAGGGGUGGACCACCCAGUGUGGUUCAAGGAAAGUCAGAGGGUAGGAGUUCUAUUAUGAGUUCUUGUAUUGACUUGCUUUGUGACCUUCAGCAAUUCUUUUUCCUUUCUGGGCCUCAGUUUCUCUAUCUAUAGAGUGGAGUGAUCCGGAGUAUGGAACCAAGCUGACUUGCCUGAGUACAGAUUCCAGUUUGCUUGUUUUUAGCAGAGACCUUGGCAAAGUUAUUUUUUCUGCAAAAUGGGGACAAUAAUAGAUCUCUUUCAUUGGGCAGGUGAGAGUUAAGUGAGUUAAUGUAUUCAGAGUGCUUAGCACAGUGAGCAGCACAGGGUGAGCCCUCUGUAAAUGUUUGCUGUGGCAUUUUCAUCAUCAUCAUUGUCAUCAUCAUGAUCGGACUAGGUCAUUGGUCCCAAAUAUGGGUCAGUCUCUUGACUUGGGCUGGUCUGUCAAAAUGAGAACCGAGGGACCAUGUGAUACACACAUAACACUGCCAACAUUUCUUUUUUUGGAAGGCUAUCCUUUUUUUUCAAAAUGAUGUCCUUCCUGUUCUUUUAGUGCUAAAAUGUCAUUCUUAAGUAAAAGACUAAUAAUUAUACAUUUUCAAAAUGUCCCAUCUGGCAAAACAAGAAGCUGCCUCCCAUGUCAAGAUUCUCAGACACCACUUAGGCCAGUUUACUUGUUCUCUGGAUGAGGAGGCCCUGCCCAGAGGAAAGGGUUGUGGCUGAGGUCACGAAACACAGUGCUGAGGAGCCGAGAGAUUGAUCCAAGUCCCUGUUCAGGCCUGAAGUGGCUGCCUCCAAAAGAAAGGAAGGAGGUGACUAUGAAAACAGAGUGAAAUUCUCCUCAAAUGAGCAGUAUGUUCAGAAGUAUAACUAGGAGAAAUAGUAAAAGUUUAGGUUAACUCCACUGAUACUUUACUUAGUACCAGCAUUACAACAAACCAAUCCUCCCUGCGCCACAACCCCAAAUGUUGGUUGUGCACUUACGAAGCACCAGGUAUGGUACUAAGUACUUCACGUGGAUUAUCUCCCUUUCUCCUCCAGAGUAGGAGGUAUGUAUGAAUAGCCCCAAUUUACAGAGGAAUAAGCUGAGACUUGGAGAAGUUCUGUCCCUUGUCAAGAGCCACACAGUCAGAGGUGCAGCUAAGAGAAGCGCAGGUUUGACUGCAAAGUUGGGCUUUCAACCCCUGUGCUAUGCUGCCAUUGCAGACACUCAGCUUGUGCUCCAGCUGUGCCCAGAAUCGGUAAUUAAGUGCAUGUUCACCUGUGUGAUUACUCCGUUCAUGUCCAUCCCUCAAUAGCUGCCCUGGGGUGGGGCAGUAAAUGAAUGCCUUUUGCCCACCUCUUCUCCCCAGGACCCAGCACCAUGCCUGGCCCAGAGUAAUUGCUCACUGAAUACUUACUGAUUGAAUGAAUAAGUGAUUAAGUGAAUGUGGGAGAAUCACCCAGAGAAGCUGGUUAACCAUUAGACUCCAGCCUCCACCUCAAGAUUCUAUUUCAGGAACUUGGAAGGGGGCAUCUGCCUUUUAGGCAAGGACCUGGCCAAUUCUGGUGCCCAAGGUCCACAGACCACCUUUUGAGAAACCCAGUGACAGGGAAGUGGACUUUUCUGAUGAUCAGGAAGGAGAAGUUAAUAUUUUAUUCUGUAGGCACUGGGGAACCAUUAAAGGUAACUGAGGAUGGGGGUGGGAAGACACUCGGAGCUGUGCUUAACAAAAAUGCAUGCUGGCUGUGCUCAUCUUCUUGCCUAGUGAUGUCCUCUGCCCUCCCCACACCCCCAGACUUUUCUUGUCAACAAGACUGAGUCCAAACAAGAGGGAUUCAUGACAAACUUCACCAGGCUGCAGCACGGAAGGCUGGUGCACUUCUAGCCUUUUGCUGCUUCUCUGACAGCAGGCAGACCAUUAGGGACUCCCUGCUCUUCCAAAAUGGCUUGUUAGCUCAUUUAAGCCCUUUAUAUGAGGCUCUCCUCUGCUGUAAUUGGGCCUUCACUCUGUUGCGCUUCCUGGCCACAGAGCUUGUUAGCUGUCAGGCAAGGUUGUGAAUUUGUGGAACUGCCAGCGAGGCUCAUUUUUUAUAGGCAAACUUGCCAUGUCAGCCCCCAUGAGACUUCGACAACCCAGGAAUGUGCCCCAUUGCAGGGCAGGAGAGGGGAGACAGGGUUCAACUUGGGAUGGGGUGCGUGACAAAAUGCUCUCACCCCGGGCUUCAGUGGGGCUCAGUUAGUUCUACGCACAUCUGCUGAAUGUGUUUAAGGCUGUCAGCCCAGCUACUGUGAGGGAAACAUGACAUCUUCUUCUAGUUCUAGGCCCCCUCCCCCUGCAUGUGUUUUAGAAGACUCAUUCGAGCAGUACAUAAGCAUGAGGGGAAUAACCCUCUUGGCAGGGUGCGAGGGGCAGUGCUGGAAUUAGAACCCAGCUCCUCUGCUGCCUGGUGGAGAAAGCCCAUGCUUCCCCAGUCCUGGCCCAGUGGCAGAGGGGACACUGUGGAGCCCUGUGCCUAUCUGGAACUAAA